rnacentral:lncRNA from 1 species
GGAAGGAGCUCGUGAAUUUAAACAUGAAUUGUGUUUGUGUAAAUUAUAUGACCUUCCCCUGCAAUUGACUUUUUUGAAACCUCCCCUUAAUUCAUCUGUGUGAGAAAAUCUCAAAACCCCUCCCUAUUGAUUUACCAACCCCCCUUACCUCUCCCCCAGACAUAAUUAAUGAACGCUCCCGCAGGAUAACUUAAAUGUACACUUGGGAAGCCAAAAACAAAAUUCCGAUUCCCUUAACAUUGUUUUACAGAAUCAUGUUGGGGGUAUUUAUUGGGACACCGUGUAUUGUAGGAAUGUAUUUAGAAUAUACAGCUAUUUCAAUUAAUUAAGGUUGUCCCCCGAGCAAAAGCGGAAAAGUCGAAUACGAGCGCGAAAGACUGCUCGGAAUCGUUAAUAAAUGCAGGGGGGCUGGAAGCAAUGUGAAGCGGCGGGGGCAGCCAUUUCAAAAGGGCACUUGCUUCUCAGCCAUCAUUUUUCUGGGCGGCAAUAUUUGUUUAAACUUUAUUGUAUUCAUGGUGGGCAAACUUCGACAUUAUGUUAAACAAUGCACCAUGCACCAGGUUAUUGCACCAUCGUUAAGGGCGCAAAAUAAAAUCAGUAAGCGGACGUAUAUUGCCUGAUUCUGCCAAAUCAGCGGCCGCCGACCGGGAAGCAAUGGGGGGCAUGUGCCUCACCACUUUUUUAAAAGUGAAAAAAUGCCCUUUUUGGGGGUAGAAAGAAAAUGCCCUUUUUGCAGGAGUAAAGACUCUGUAAAAGUCAUUUCCGACGUUAUAGAGACUCCAUAUUUUCAAAAAAUUUUCGUUCGGCUCGUGAGCAACAUAAAAUUGUUUGAUUUUGAUCAUAAUUAUACAAAAGUGAUUCCGCGGCCUCUGGCAUUAAUUUUACUAUAGCUGGUUAAAAUUAAGCAAGGAUUAUAUAAUAGUUUUGUUCGUGGAAACACCACGUAAAUUUAUUACUGCAAAGCUUUCGAUCAGUGG